CAGUAGCGCGGGAAUACGGAGGGAGCUAGCGUUGUUCGGAAUUACCGGGCGUAAAGCGCGCGUAGGCGGUUACUCAAGUCAGAGGUGAAAGCCCGGGGCUCAACCCCGGAACUGCCUUUGAAACUAGGUGACUAGAAUCUUGGAGAGGUCAGUGGAAUUCCGAGUGUAGAGGUGAAAUUCGUAGAUAUUCGGAAGAACACCAGUGGCGAAGGCGACUGACUGGACAAGUAUUGACGCUGAGGUGCGAAAGCGUGGGGAGCAAACAGGAUUAGAUACCCCCGUAGUCCCUGUCUCUUAUACA
rnacentral:rRNA from 1 species